GCAACUUCUUUUAGUACCAAAAAAAUAUUUAAACUUGGUAGAACUUUUUUAAUUGUUCUGCAACAAAUUAAAUUUAUUUUAUAUUUAUAUUUUUAAAAUCUUGGAAAAUAUACUUUCCAAGCAUAUGUUCUUGUCAGAGGCGGCACUCUAGUGUUUUUGCCUUCAAUUUCCAUGCAAGCUAGACAAGAUUUGGCCAAUAAAUGUUGAUGGAAAGUGGGUUUUAACAACAUUACCACAAAAUCUAUAAGGAGCGUUUGGAAUAUGUAAUGCUGACCUAUCGUUUCUAUACAUUUUCUUAACUCGAAGAGUUUAUGAGUU